GGGGAUAUAGCUCAAGUUGGCAGAGUGCUUGCUUUGCAUGCACAAGGCCCUGGGUUCAAUCCCCAGCACCACCA
rfam:Ictidomys tridecemlineatus contig072640, whole genome shotgun sequence.